AGAGCAAACGGUGCUCCUUGGAGUUGAGCGGCGCGACGGUCCUGCAGCAGCUAGCCUGGGAUGUACCCACAGCUCACCGGGGAGUCCGGGCCACACGUCAGCUGGAUCUUGAAUGAGAUGAAGACGGGGAGAAAGGGCCUUCCGGACAAAGGGCUUACGCCCUGGAUAAAGGGCGUGGAGGGGCGUGGCACGUUCAGUCUGGACACAGCAUAAAGUGCAUUGGAGAGAGGCGGGAGACAGGAUGGAAAGGAGGGUGGGAAGAGCUAUGAAGCUCCCCAGGGCCUUGCUAACGCGUUUGGACUUUAUCCCGCGCCAGACUUUUUAAAGGUGGUAAGUAGUUUACAGAUGUGCGUUUUGAGGCCAGCACAUUUUGUUGUUGUCGUUUGUUUGUUUGUUUUUCUUUGAGACGGGGUCUCACUCCCAGGCUGGAGUGCAAUAACGUGAUCUCAGCUCACUGCAACCUCCGCCUCCCAGGUUCAAGCGAUUCCCCUGCCUCAACCUGUCGAAUAGCUGGGGCUACAGGCGCCCACCACCACGCCUGGCUAAUUUUUGUAUUUUUAGUGGAGACGGGGUUUCACCACGUUGGCCAGGCUGGUCUCGAACUCCUGACUUCAGGUGAUCCUCCCGCCAAGGCCUCCCAAAAUCCUGGGAUUACGGCCAUCGUGCCGGGCCAGCAGCACAGCGUCUUAAGCAAUUUUGGAUAUGAAUACCUUCGAGACGAGCUUGCGCUCCCACAGACCCCACCACUCCUACAGUCUGUAAUUACCCCCAGCUGCACCCAUAUGCGUAGCUUCCCUGGUCCAGAGGGACGUGCGUGUGUGACCCUGCAGGAUAGUGGGGUGGCCCUGCAUGGCAUGGCUGCCAGUGCUAAGAGGGGUGUGCCGCCAGCCUCUGAUCCCUCUCACCGGCGGGCCCCCCAUCAUCAUCACUAUAUGAUGACCUGAGGCGUCCAGGCUCCCGAGGAAAGCCUGCCGCCCUGGUUCCUACAAGGGACGCCUAAACACAGAGUCCUAAACACAGAGUCCUAAACACAUGCAGGGUUGGAGGGAGACUGACGAACUCAACUACCAGCCUGCAGUCGGCAGCCAUCAGCGGAUUGCAGGUACCCCGCGUGCGUGUCUCGGCUACAGUGCGGAAGACAAGAGGCCUUAGGAAGUGGGAACGGGCGCCAUCUGGUGGUCAUCUCUGGAGUGACAGCAGAGAACUGGAACAUAUUUUAUAUUUUGUUUCCACUGCUCCAUGACUUGACUAAAGCAGAAACAAUUCGGAGAGUACUGUAGUAUUAAAUACCUAAGGGCCACACCAGGCCAGAAAGCAACAAAAAAGAAAUGCUAAAAAGAAGUUCUUCAGAGAGGGAUCCAAGAAGGAAUAAGUGAAGGGCGGUGCUCCAGGUGUGAAUGGAGACGACUUCGAGCUCACUGUGCUGAGAAACUGCUUUUCAGAGGGCUUCUACAGAGCCCACAGCUCAUCUUCUAGAAGUCAUCUAUAGCUACUGUCAGUUUCUAGGCUUCCAAGGACACCCUUCAGCCUACUGCAAUGCAGCUUCUUACCCUACUCCUCCAUGGACAGAUGACAUCCAUUUCUGAAAUCCAGGGGCCACACUUCAAUCUAUCUCAUGAGGUAUCUCUGCUUGGUGGACACCGAUGUUCUCCCUUCCUGAAGACUCUGCUUCUCUGACUUCUGUGAGCAUAGCCUCUUCUGGUCACUCGUUCUCUGGCAUAGACUUCUUCUCUGUGGGCUGGCAGCGAACAGUGGGGCCUUCAGCAUCAUUAUUGCUCAGAUCUCUUUAAUGUUUGGCUUAAAUGAAGACAGCUGGAUUCUCUUCUUCUGCAUUCAAUCUGUUAGGAUGUGCUGUUUGCUGAAAGCAUGAAAAUCCUAGCACCUCACCUCACCUCUUGGGGACCUUGGACCGCACUUUGAGAACCAUUAGUUUUUCUUUCAGCUCUACAUCAUUCACAGCCGGGCCUGGUGGCUCAUGGCUGUAAUCCCAGGACUUUGGGAGGCUGAGGUGGGUGGAUCACCUGAGGCCAGCAGUUUGAGACCAGCCUGGGCAACAUGGUGAAACCCCGUCUCUACUAAAUAUACAAAAAUUAGCCAGGCGUCAUGGCACCCUCCUGUAGUCCCAGCUACUCAGGAGGCUGAGGCAGGAGAAU
ensembl:lncRNA novel transcript